UUUAUGGAAGAACUGUGAGUUUCUGGUAAAUAGAAUGUGCCAUCUAGAAAGCCUUAUCCAGUUCUUGAAAAUGAACAUCUUUUGCCUGCAAACUGAAAAGGAUUUGAAUCCACAGAAAACAGGUACAGAGAGAAGAGAAUCAUCAGCAAUUUGGUUUUGUAUGGGUGCUUGAUGGGUUUAUGAUUCUUUUCCCUUCCUGAUCUUAUUUCAACUGCUCAAUGACCCUCCUGUGCUGUCUCGUAGCUUUUUUGAAGGAUCAGCUGAAAACCGUACAGGAGGAGCAUUCCAAGGACCUGAAGCUAUUGCACCUUAAAGUGAUGGAUUUGUGCCAGCAACUAUGAGAUGUAAAAGAAGAAGACAAGGCACAAGACGAAGUGCAAAGGUUGACUGCCACUCUGGAGAUUGCCUCAGAGGUUAAGAAAAAUGCAGCCAUUAUUGAAGAGGAACUGAAGACCACAAAACGUAAAAUGAACCUGAGAAUUCAGGAGAGCAGAAAAUGAUGACACAGACAUUUCAAGAACAAAACUUACUGUUGGAUGCAGCCCAUGCCAGUAUCACAAGUGAGCUACAGGCUGUUCAGAAUGAGAAAACCCAACUCCAAGCACAUCUGUGAGUAAACUGUGGGCAGCAUCGUUUGUAUCU